rnacentral:ncRNA from 1 species
GGAAUCCCAUCGGGUAAGGUAGACCAACCGCCCGUAAUUAGCCUUGGAGGAAGUGGGGUAACUCACUUCUUUAAGCGUAGGCAAACGAGAUAGUAGGCUGAAAGCCGAAAGGUUGAAGCGAUUGAGCUCCGAAAUACUGGAAAACGGGAAGGCUGAUGUAGUUGUCAGAACAGAAAGCAAUACUGCGGUUAACGUUAUGGUAAGAAAACCGCAGCUUCCCCGGGGUCGUAGAACU